CCUACGGGAGGCAGCAGUGGGGAAUUUUGGACAAUGGGGGCAACCCUGAUCCAGCCAUGCCGCGUGAGUGAAGAAGGCCUUCGGGUUGUAAACCUCUUUAUACCGGGAAGAAAUCAUCUGGGUUAAUACCCUGUGUGGAUGACGGUACCGGAAGAAUAAGCCCCG
rnacentral:rRNA from 1 species